rnacentral:rRNA from 1 species
UUUAACGGCCGCGGUACCCUAACCGUGCAAAGGUAGCGUAAUCAUUUGUCUAUUAAUUGUAGACCUGUAUGAAAGGCAAAAUGAGGGUCUGACUGUCUCUUAUAGUCAACCAAUUAAACUGAUCUCCCAGUCAAAAAGCUGGAAUAACACCAUAAGACCAGAAGACCCUGUGAAGCUUAAACUAAACUAUUAAACCACCUAAUAACUACUUUCGGUUGGGGCGACCUUGGAAAAAAAAAGAACUUCCAAAACAUGACCUAACAUCAUACCACCGGCCAACAAGCCUACACAUUARACCCAGCAAAGCUGAUAAUUGAACCAAGUUACUCCWGGGAUAACAGCGCCAUCUUCUUCAAGAGCCCAWAUCAAAAAGAAGGUUUACRACCUCGAUGUUGGAUCAGGACAUCCUAAUGGUGCAGCCGCUAUUAAAGGUUCGUUCGUUCAACGAUUAAUAGUCC